AACGAACGCUGGCGGCAGGCUUAACACAUGCAAGUCGAACGCCCCGCAAGGGGAGUGGCAGACGGGUGAGUAACGCGUGGGAACGUACCCUUUACUACGGAAUAACUCAGGGAAACUUGUGCUAAUACCGUAUGUGCCCUUCGGGGGAAAGAUUUAUCGGUAAAGGAUCGGCCCGCGUUGGAUUAGCUAGUUGGUGGGGUAAAGGCCUACCAAGGUGACGAUCCAUAGCUGGUCUGAGAGGAUGAUCAGCCACAUUGGGACUGAGACACGGCCCAAACUCCUACGGGAGGCAGCAGUGGGGAAUAUUGGACAAUGGGCGCAAGCCUGAUCCAGCCAUGCCGCGUGAGUGAUGAAGGCCCUAGGGUUGUAAAGCUCUUUCACCGGUGAAGAUAAUGACGGUAACCGGAGAAGAAGCCCCGGCUAACUUCGUGCCAGCAGCCGCCGUAA
rnacentral:rRNA from 1 species